GAUGAACGCUGGCGGCAUGCCUAAGACAUGCAAGUCGAACGAGAUGGCCCAGUGAAGGUUGCGUGCUUGCACAAGACUGAAUCUGGAUCACCAUCUAGUGGCAGACGGGUGAGUAACACGUGGGUGACCUACCUUUUCGUUGGGGAUAACAGUUGGAAACGAUUGCUAAUACCGAAUAAAAUAUAAGAGCCAAUUUUAUAUUGAAAGGAGCCUUUAAAGCUUCGCGAUUAGAUGGGCCUGCGGCGUAUUAACUUGUUGGUGAGGUAACGGCUCACCAAGGUAACGAUGCGUAGCCGAACUGAGAGGUUGAUCGGCCACACUGGGACUGAGACACGGCCCAGACUCCUACGGGAGACAGCAGUUAGGAAUAUUCGUCAAUGGGGGAAACCCUGAACGAGCAAUGCCGCGUGAGUGAUGACGGUCCUUUGGAUUGUAAAACUCUGUUGUAUGGAAAAAAAUGACUAGGUUAGGAAAUGAACCUAGUGUGAUGGUACCAUACCAGAAAGC
rnacentral:rRNA from 1 species